rnacentral:rRNA from 1 species
GACAGAGGCCUCAAGCGUUUAGGCGGAAUCACUGGGCUUAAAGCGUGUGUAGGCGGAUCGUUAAGUGUCUUGUGAAAUCCCACGGCUCACCCGUGGAACUGCUGGGCAUACUGGCGAUCUUGGGCCAACUAGGGGCAACUGGAACAAGCGGUGGAGCGGUGAAAUGCGUAGAUAUCGCUUGGAACGCCAAAGGGUGAAAACAGGUUGCUGGGGUUGUGCCGACGCGUGAGA